ensembl:lncRNA
CGGUUACUGGGUUCGAAGCAGAAAGGACCGGGCAUCUGAACGUACCUGUUGGGUCACACAGAGACAGUCUCUUAUCAAACAUUCUGAUAUGACGUUGUUCUGUUUUGAGUUGUGGGAAAGCCUCAUGGCCCUAUAAGGUUAAAAGGAAAUGAAACCAGCAAAAUACAAGUGAAAGAAAUCAAACAUUUGACCCAAAUGUCGCACAGAGUGAAGAGCCUCACUGGCCCAGACACAAACCAGCAUAAACACCUCCAGUCAAAAUGCUGAACAAACACACAGGGACCGGAUGAAACAGGGAGGUCUGGGAAUCCCUGAUUGGAACAGAGAGAGGUGAACCGGGUGUCUGUCAGAGGGCCCCUGACUGGAACAGAGAGAGGUGAACCAGGUCUGACUGGAACAGAGGCAGGUGAACCGGGUCUGACUGGAACAGAGGCAGGUGAACCGGGUCUGACUGGAACAGAGGCAGGUGAACCGGGUCUGACUGGAACAGAGGCAGGUGAACCGGGUCUGACUGGAACAGAGGCAGGUGAACCGGGUCUGACUGGAACAGAGGCAGGUGAACCGGGUCUGACUGGAACAGAGACAGGUGAACCGGGUCUGACUGGAACAGAGACAGGUGAACCAGGUCUGACUGGAACAGAGACAGGUGAACCAGGUCUGACUGGAACAGAGACAGGUGAACCGGGUCUGACUGGAACAGAGAGAGGUGAACCAGGUCUGACUGGAACAGAGACUGGCUGUGUUCCAAAACGAAUUUCUAACAGGUCUUUGAGAAAAUUAAGGAAGGCUUUCUGCCACCUCUCCAGUCUCACUACUCUCAACAAACAGAGUGAUCUAGUCUCACUACUCUCAACAAACAGAGUGAUCUAGUCUCACUACUCUCAACAAACAGAGUGAUCUAGUCUCACUACUCUCAACAAACAGAGUGAUCUAGUAUACAGCCAUUGUGAAGACGCUGAUCCAGUCUACAGCCAUUGUGAAGACUGUGAUCCAGUCUACAGCCAUUGUAAAGACUGUGAUGUAGUCUACAGCCAUUGUGAAGACUGUGGGGCGACACACAAUUGGCCGAGUGUCAUCCGGGUUAGGGAGGGUUUGGCCGGUAGGGAUAUCCUUGUCUCAUCACGCACCAGCGACUCCUCUGGCGGACCGGGUGCAGCGCACGCUAACCAGGGUCGCCAGGUGCACGACACAUCGGUGCAGCUGGCUUCCUCAUUCAGUCUUCAACGAGUUCCGGAGGGCCUCAUUCAGUCUUCAACGAGUUCCUGAGGGCCUCUUUCAGUCUUCAACGAGUUCGGGAGGGCCUCAUUCAGUCUUCAACGAGUUCCGGAGGGCCUCAUUCAGUCUUCAACGAGUUCCGGAGGGCCUCAUUCAGUCUUCAACGAGAUCCGGAGGGCCUCAUUCAGUCUUCAACGAGUUCCGGAGGGCCUCAUUCAGUCUUCAACGAGUUCCGGAGGGCCGUACUGAAAAUGUUUUAUAUUUCCUCGUCGUCAAAAUGUGCUAAAAAAACUUCUCUGUUCAUCGUUUUUAACAUUUUCGAUGCUCCCUGACUGUCUAGAGUUCUUUUCAGUGAUUAUUAGUGAACUGGGCCCAGUCAAUAAACUGUAUGAAUGUAGUGAUUAUUAGUGAACUGGACCCAGUCAAUAAACUGUAUGAAUGUAGUGAUUAUUAGUGAGCUGGACCCAGUCAAUAAACUGUAUGAAUGUA